AAAAUCUGUAUCAGGUCUAGAAGUUGAGGUUCGUCUUAACUUUCUGGUGUCAACUUGCAAUAUGGUCAACUUUACUAAUUCCAUAGUGCUGAAUCUGAAUCUAGAAUUUGAGGUUCGUCUUAACUUUCUGGUGUCAACUUGCAAUAUGGUCAACUUUACUAAUUCCAUAGUGCUGAAUCUGAAUCUAGUUAUUCACAUUGGCCCAAAUUGCACAUUAACAUUAUGGUCAAAAAUAGUAUUUUGGCCAUAACUUCUAUGUUUUAAGUUCAUCUGCUUUCAAACUUGACACUAAAUAAAUAGGAAGUGGGCAUGAGUAAUGUAAGUCAUUAAUAAAGGUGUGACACAGUGCUGACAUUUUUUAAAGUGUUGUUUUUGGUAGAAUCAAUCCUUUCAAACAUGAGCAUGAUGAAAUUUUGACAUGGUGUUUUUAGUAAGGAUUUAUAUUAAGUGAACGUACUUCUGUCAUCGCUUUACAACACAAAACAAUUACAAUGCUUCGAAAAAGCAUCCUGCAGUCUUGGAAAACAAUGUGUAUAUGACGUAACGUGAAGGAGAUAAUGCGCGAGCGCAUAUAGGGCGCGCAGUCUACGUGCGCAGUACGCUCUGAAU